CAACAGCCUCGCUGCAUAUAUGACUGAAGAUGAAGUCCACGAAGGAAUUAUUUAUCCAUCAAUUUCCAGAAUCCGUGAUAUUACAAAGGAAAUCGCAGCAGCUGUUAUUAUGGAAGCGAUAGAAGAGGAUCUUGUUGCUGGAUACCGUGAUGUAGAUGCUCGAGAACUCCAAAAAUUUAACAAGG